UACGGAGGGUCCAAGCGUUAUCCGGAAUCAUUGGGUUUAAAGGGUCCGUAGGCGGGUCUGUAAGUCAGUGGUGAAAUCUCCCGGCUUAACCGGGAAAUGGCCAUUGAUACUGCAGGUCUUGAAUUAUUCGGAAGUAACUAGAAUAUGUAGUGUAGCGGUGAAAUGCUUAGAGAUUACAUGGAAUACCAAUUGCGAAGGCAGGUUACUAUCAAUAUAUUGACGCUCAUGCACGAAAGCGUGGGGAGCAAACAGG
rnacentral:rRNA from 1 species